rnacentral:rRNA from 1 species
UCGGGAAUUUUGCUCAAUGGGCGAAAGCCUGAAGCAGCAACGCCGCGUGAGGGAUGAAGGCCUUCGGGUCGUAAACCUCUUUUUCCGGGGACGAUAAUGACGGUACCCGGUGAAUAAGCCACGGCUAACUACGUGCCAGCAGCCGCGGUAAUACGUAGGUGGCGAGCGUUGUCCGGAUUUACUGGGCGUAAAGAGCGCGCAGGCGGUCGUAUAAGUCGAAUGUGAAAGCCCCCGGCUCAACUGGGGAGAGUCAUUCGAUACUGUUCGACUCGAAGGCAGGAGAGGGAAGUGGAAUUCCGGGUGUAGUGGUGAAAUGCGUAGAUAUCCGGAGGAACACCAGUGGCGAAGGCGACUUUCUGGCCUGUUCUUGACGCUGAGGCGCGAAAGCUAGGGGAGCAAACGGGAUUAGAUACCCCGGUAGUCC